AGCUAGCACCAGACCCUUGAUUGGUUAUAGUCUAAAGAAGUAUAGUUGUCUGAAAAGGCUUUAUCAGCGUGUGAACCCCACUGAUAUCUUAGGAAGAUGCACUGGUUGUCAUGGUAAAAGCUAUGCUAAUUGGCUUCCUCUAGUUGAUGUUCUGUCAAGCUCACUGCCCCACUGAGGAUUUGGAAUACAGCGCUUAACUUUUUGCUCUCAAAGAACAUGUUCCCAGCAAGUCAGCUGCCUCAGCAGAAAAUGGAAGAUACAGGGAUACAUGUGCAGGUUUGUUACAUGAGAACAUUGCGUGAUGCUGAGGUUUGGAGUAUGGAUUCCACCACGCAGGGAGUGAGCAUAAUAUCUGAGACGGGGUUUCACCGUGUUAGCCAGGAUGGUCUCCAUCUCCUGACCUCGUGAUCU